rnacentral:rRNA from 1 species
GGAAGACCAAGGGUUCCUGUCCAACGUUAAUCGGGGCAGGGUGAGUCGACCCCUAAGGCGAGGCCGAAAGGCGUAGUCGAUGGGAAACAGGUUAAUAUUCCUGUACUUGGGGUUACUGCGAAGGGGGGACGGAGAAGGCUAUGUUGGCCGGGCGACGGUUGUCCCGGUUUAAGCGUGUAGGCUGGUUUUCCAGGCAAAUCCGGAAAAUCAAGGCCGAGGCG